GAAUUUUGGACAAUGGGGGCAACCCUGAUCCAGCGACGCCGCGUGGAGGACGAAGGUCUUCGGAUUGUAAACUCCUUUUGCCGGGGAAUAAGAAAUCUGUAGAAAUACGGAGAGUGAAGGUACCCGGAGAAUAAGCCACGGCUAACUUCGUGCCAGCAGCCGCGGUAAUACGAAGGUGGCGAGCGUUACUCGGAAUUACUAGGCGUAAAGCGCGGGUAGGUGGUUGUGAAAGUCUGCUGUGAAAGCUCCUGGCUUAACUGGGAGAGGUCAGCGGAAACUCCACGACUGGAGUGUAGGAGAGGGUACUGGAAUUCCCGGAGUAGCGGUGAAAUGCGCAGAUAUCGGGAGGAACACCAAAGGCGAAAGCAGGUACCUGGACUAUUACUGACACUGAGCCGCGAAAGCUAGGGGAGCAAACAGG
rnacentral:rRNA from 1 species